CCCUUUGUAGAUCUAUUAUCUUGUGGUCAGCAAUGAUAUUUUGGUGUGGUUAUGGUGUGGUGUAUUUCGUAAAUGAAAUUCAAAUUCUUGUGUAAAAAUUUCUGCUCAAAGUCAUGCAAUUGUUAAAGCUUGAUUAUUUAUACAAUUGAUUACAAUGUGCACAUUUAUUUUUCGGAAGCUUAUUUUUUUCAUAGUGUUUAUUAUUUACAGUACCUCAGAAUGAUUAGCUUUCUUCGUAAAAAAACUUGAUUCCAUUAGAUUUGACUUAAUUUAUCAAGUACAAGUACAUAUGACUUUUUAGAAUAUCAUAACGUAGUUUAAAGUCUUUUCAUUUUCAGUUUCUUUUUUCAGAAAAUGGUAUUUAUAGUACAUCAAGUUAUGUGUUGUAUUCGACAUAGGACUUCUAAUGAACUCUAGAGGUAGGAACGAUUGUAUGGUGAAAAAUAGGGCUGUAACUAGUGUGAACAGAAAUAAACUAUAAAUUGAAUCAAAGGAUAGGAUUAUUUGAAUUUGAUAAGUAAACUGUUUUAGUAGACAAUUAAUUGUACUGAUUUUCAGCGGUUUCUGGUAUUUGCUUUAUUGUUGUUUUUUAUUCUAUCUUAAUUUAGUAGUUCAUUUAAUCUGUGUUUGUUGUGCUUUUCAGUAUAGUUUGAGCUCUGGGAUGAAUUGAGAGCACAACACUUUCACUGGUACGAUGGUACCCUUCUUAUGGGACUUCUUUACCUUGGAACAUUAUGAAUAUUACACAAACUUUGGACAUCAUGUGUAGUUGGUCUGUGAUUAUAGCAGUCCACAUUUCAUCCGAGCAUGGAGCAGUAUCCAUUUAUUCAAUGAAAGCAGAAACAACAAGGGUAUAGAAGGAAUUUUCAUCUGUGGGUCUUCCGGCGAUCUUAUCUGUGUGCUCGCAUUCGGUCUUCGAGAAGCCAGUGAGAAAGACAAGUCGCCGCUUAUGCUGCCCGUAAAUGAAGACGAUGCCUGAAGAGAUGGGGUUUUAACGACGGUUUUUUUUUUCUAUAAUACAGGCUUUGAUGAUAACAUUCUUGGAUUACCUAUAUGGACAAACUACUUGCAGAUGUUAUCUGUGGCAGUUAAAUUUACUUUUAUUUCCAAAAAUACUUCUGAUGAGAUGGUCGAAAAAUCCAUACGCAUAGGAUGUUAACAAUGGUUAAACAUAAUAAAUGAACACAGAGGGUAAAUCAGAAGGAGUCGAAAUGUGAAGAAACAGAGCCCCACUCACACUUCUUUCUCUUGGACUUAGGAUGGAGUCAUUUGCAGAGAGGGUUAUCAUUUAAACUUAUUAAAUGAACAAGAAGACAAAGAAUAAGGAAGAAUAAACGUGGAGAAGUGGAACCCCGUUAAUGUUCCGUCCUCUUAGACUUGAAAAGUGCAAUUUUUAGAGAACAAAUGAAGCUCAAUUCACAUUGAUGUAUUUAAGAAUAAAACUUGAGCACAGUACAAUUAUCCUGGAGGUAAGUAAUUGCUUUAUUUGUUUAUUUUGGUGGUACUUCAUUUUCAUAGUAAUUUGCCAUGCCUGGCAUCUAUGGUUUUUGUUCUCUUACAGUUAUCUAUUGCCCACAUCUAUGAUUUUCUUCUAUCAAUUAUCUAUUGUGUACAAGCAUCUAUGAUUAUUUCUAUUGCUUUUAACAUUUAUCUAUGUCUUGAAUAAAAUUGACCACAUCGCCAUUUUAUAAUUUAGGUAUUUUACUUGCUCUU